rnacentral:rRNA from 1 species
CCUACGGGCGGCAGCAGUGAGGAAUAUUGGACAAUGGACGAGAGUCUGAACCAGCCACGUAGCGUGAAGGAUGAAUGCCCUCUGGGUUGUAAGCUUCUUUUAUAUGGGAAUACAAUGUUCAACGUGUGGGAUUUUGUAUGUACCAUAUGAAUACGGAUCGGCUAAGUCCGUGCCAGCAGCCGCGGUAAUACGGAGGAUCCGAGCGUUAUCCGGAUUUAUUGGGUUUAAAGGGAUCGUAGGUGGAUUGUUAAGUCAGUUGUGAAAGUUUGUGGCACAACCGUACGAUUGCAGUUGAAACUGGCAGUCUAGAGUACAGUAGAGGUGAGCGGAAUUCGUGGUGUAGCGGUGAAAUGCUUAGAUAUCACGAAGAACACCGAUUGCGAAGGCAGUUCACUGGACUGCAACUGACACUGAGGCUCGAAAGUGUGGGUAUCAAACAGGAUUAGAUACCCCUGUAGUC